rnacentral:lncRNA from 12 species
UGCUCCCUGUGAUGUUCCCACUGAGCCUCAUCCCUGCAACACCGGCCCUUUGGCUUUGCUUCUGCCAACUGAGGGGGCAGGAGGAGACCGAAUCUCCACCCCUGUCCUAACUUUGAGGCAGAGAGCUCCCCGUGACACCCGCUCUUUGGGCAUAACCGGGACCAGUAGCCUUCCCGUCUCCUCUGCGGUCCUGCUGGGAGCAUCCAGUCCUGGUGGCAACUGCUCAGACACAGGCCUGGCCCCCAGUGAGACUCCACCUGUGCUGUAAAUGCUGUAAGUCAUUUCGGGGGAAAGGCGGCCUUAGCUGCGGGGGCAGUUGGGGCCCUAAAUGUCACUCAGCAACUGCAGGAGUGGGGGGCCGUCUGGAACAGGGCCAGAGGGGCUGGUGGGGGAGGGGGGUGGGGGCACGGGGACAGACCUUCCUCCCCUCUUCCUUUCUAGGGCUGGCCGCUCCCCGAAAAGACACGCUUGCAUGCUCCACCCUCCAGCUCUUGUCCGCAGAGCUUGGCCUUCCCGCCCUGACAGAUCCGUGCUCGCCAUCGGGUAGUUUUGCUGAAAGGGGCUCCAACUGGCCCAUCGAUCUGCAGACAAGAGGGAGCUCCCUGCGGUUUGCUGAAGGGCUUGCUUCUCAGCGCCCCCCAACCAUCUCUGACCCCGAAGACCGCCCCUCGCAGCCUGAUUCUCCAUUUCUUCACUCAAAGCUCUGGCUACGAGGGAGAAACUAUGUUUUUCAACAACGUAAUAUUUUACGACGCACGCAGUGACAAUUUACAAACUGCUCCCCUGAGGGUUGCCUUGGGAUUCCCUGAAAAUGACCUUUGAAGGUACACGAGGUAAACAUCCCAUGUUGCAGAUGUAGGAACUGAGGCUGGCACCGGCUCAGUGACGGGCGCAGAGAGGCCGGAGGUGUGGCCAGAUGGCGGGCGGGUGCGACCCCGCACGGUCCUGAGUGCAGGUGCUCCCCUUACCCCAAGGGGAGGGGGUUGGGGGGGGGAGACAGAGUCGAGGGGGAGGUGACCUUCCCUUACGCUCCCUCCUCCAAAAGGGGAGUUCCAGGGACGCCCCCCUGCGGCCGGGUGGGCAGGGGUGGGCCUGGGUGGGCCGCUCCCGGGGUGGGACUGCUGGCUGCUGCUCCUAAGGAGCCUCCUGGCGAGAUUUCCUCAGUGUCUGGCUCCCCGUCAUCGCCUGAAGAGGCCCGGGCCGCAGCCAAAGUGCUAACUGGAUAAAAAAGAAUCAAGCCCUUGCUUUUCACUGUUUGUCCUUUGAUCGGGGAAAAGCUCCCAAGUGUAUGGGGCCGGAGACACCGUCACGUCUCCCUGCGAGGGUGUGUGUGCGAGUGCAUGUGUGUGGGUGGGUGUGCAUCGGGGAGGGCAGACGGACGCAGGCGUGGGGUCUCUCCGGAGGGCAACAGGGCCUGUAGCUAAAUUUGCUGUAACGGUUAUGUCUUCCUUCUUGGCAUUAGAAAGACAUUUAGGUGCAUUACAUAGACACACAAGGGCCAUUGCUUAGAGAAAAGCCAGAGAAGUCAGGAGUCUGUGACCUGGCAUCUGAGAGUUAAAUUAUAACUUAAUUAAUUAAUUAAUUAAAAAAUUAUUCACAACCUACUGCGUUUGGUACUAGAAUUUCCUUUUACUUUAGUAUCUGUCUUGUAAAAAUUAUGCUUUACCUUUUGUUUUAUAUGUAAAUAAUAUUUUUUCUCUUUUCUCUCUCUUUCAUUUUCUUUCUUUUUUUAAAAUUU